UGUUUGUACUUUCUGUAGAAUAAUAAUGAAUCAGCAUUAGAAACUCCCUGAUAAUCAUCACUCUACUCUGAGUCCUGUUCUUAAAAGGAACAAAGCACAGAGUCAGUCAUUUGGUGAGAUGAAAGUAGGCUGAUCACUGCAAAAAAUACUGAAUGGAUUUUACUCCAGGUAAAAUGGAUGGCACUUAAGAGAACCAAUAAGAAAUCUUCCUUUUGAGUGAUUGUGCUGCUGAGGAUUUGGAUUGCAGUAUUGCAUGUCAAGAUCUGGCUUAGGCUGAAGUUUCCAGGAAUUUUUGAAAAGGGUACUUGAAUAUCAACUGACUUUUACUUUCUAGAAAUUACGAUGGCAGAGAAAACAAGAACUGUGAUUUCUUCUGACUGUCAAUAUGGGAAUGAGAGAAAAGAACGCUCGGAAAAAAAUAAUCAGAGAAAAAGAUUGCUUUUUUCCCCUCAUCUGUGGCAUUCUGUAAUGAUUCCAGCACACUCUAUGCUCUUACUGUGAGGCUGGCUGGUUGGCAGGCAUUAAGGAAUCUGAGUGGCUUCAGUGCAGAGAUGCAAAGAGUUCUAAAGGAGUUUUCCCAGAGAACUUCACACGCCAUCUGGAACAGCUCUUCUCACAGGCACAGAAUGUGGCAUGAAGCUCAGUCAGUAGGUUUUUAACCUCUUUGUAACACGGGAGCCCACUUUUUGUAGUUCAGGCUGCUAAUGGUUUACGGAUUGGUGCCGGACAAAGCUUGUUGAAGCAUAUCAAGAUGAGCAUGAGUGCAAACAGUUCAGCUAGCAAUUUCUGAAGCAGUGUUUCAGAAAAAAAAA